rnacentral:tRNA from 1 species
GUGGGUAUAGCUCAGUGGUAGAGCACAUGCUUAGCAUGCAUGAGGUCAUGGGUUAAAUCCCCAGUACUUCCA